UCCUCUGGUGGUCAUCAGGAAGCUGUCCACAAACAGACAGUGAAGCCAAAACACAUUCAGCCACCAUGAGAGCUCUGCUGCUUCUUGGUAUCUUGUGUGCUGCUCUGGUGCUGCCAGCACUUGCAGAUAAGAAGCCGAAAACUCCAACUCCUCCACUUCUCUUUGACCAUUUCCACGCUUUAACUAAUAAGAAUGAAGGCAUCAAAAAAUCCAUUUUUGAAGGCAUGACCCCUGAAGAGAAAGAAGAGUGGAAGAAGGAUUUCAUGCGACAUCAAAGUGAGACAGAAAACCCAUGCUAAAGGCCUGGGUUGCCAUAUGCACCAGUGAAGCAAUCGGCCUGACAGAGAAAUCAAGUGUUCAACUACUCCAAAUACUGUAAUAAUUAACUUUUAACAUGACUGAGAUGUGAAAAUAAAAACUAUUGAUUGUCAUAUUGAUUAUGGACAUAAAUGCA